AAAAGAUGACGGUUAAGACCUCGYCUSUUCUUUCUUACCCAGKGUUUGYKARAAUUAGGCGGGGCCUUGCCGUGAUUGAUGAAUGCUACCUGGUUGAUCCUGCCAGUAGUCAUAUGCUUGUCUYAAAGAUUAAGCCAUGCAUGUGUAAGUAUGAACGAAUUCAGA
rnacentral:rRNA from 1 species